rnacentral:lncRNA from 1 species
AUUCCCUGAAACCUGGAUCUGAGAAGAAUACUGAAGGAAUAGUCAGCUGAAGAUGGCUCACUGGACCAGCAGAUAUGACAACUCAGAAGCUUAACCAAAACUGUCAGUCAUUUAGUGGACUGGAUUUUGCAUUUAAGGUGGACGGUCGUGAUGGACUACAUUCUAAAGAUGUUAUCCUAAGAUCUGUUUAUCUUGGUUAUUCUAUCAAGCACUCAGCUAGAUGCUACCAAAAUAGACUUUGCAGAUGAAGAUUACAUUCCUGAAAUGAGAGAAAUCAUCCUGGAUUAUUGGGUGGAACUAAUCUAAUCACAUGAACCAUUAAAAACAGGCAAAUACCUCCCACUAGAGUAAGAGAUCCAGACAAGAGGUAAGGCAGAAAUAUAAAUUAGACUUGAAGCAUGCUAGAAGAAACUGACUCCCUGUUGCUAACUUUGAGGAAGAGAGUGAGUGGUGUGAGCCACGUAGAUGUACUCUGGAAGCUGAAAAUAAGUCCCAGCAGAAGGAAAGGGAACAAGGAAAUGAAGAGUCCAGUCGCACAUAUUCAAGGAACAAUGUUUAGCCAGUAAUUUGAAUGAGCUUGGAAGCUAAUUCUUCUCAAGCUCUCUUGAUCAGAGUCCAACAAACAAAGAUCUUACAAGAUCUUAUUUUUAUCCUUGUGAAAUCAAUAGCAAAGAAACCAGCCUCGCCAUCUCAGACUUCCAUCCAACCUAUGGACUGUGAAUGUAUCAACUGAUGCUUUAAGCUAUAAAAUCGUAGUAAUUUUGUUCUGGCAUCAUGACAUUAAGUUACCAUACCAUUUUUGGUUAUGAACAUGUGUUGGAGAACUAAAACAGAAAUAAUUGUGAAAGAUGAGCCUAAAUUCAGGCAUUUUCAACUGGAUCUGAUACCGUUCCCACAAAAGACAUAUGGUGAUGACUACAGACAUGGUCAUAUAUCACAACUGGGGAUACAGGGUUUGUCACUGGCAUCUAGUGGGUGGAGGCCAAGAAUGGUACUAAAAUCUUAUCAUGUAAAGAAUAUCCUCUUACAACAAAGUAUUAUGCAGUCCAAAAUACUGGUAGUAUCAAAGUUGAGAAUCCCUUAACUAGAAAUGGGCAAGCACGGGCUAGAUGAUCAAAGGUCUUCAAUGCCUGACCCAAAGGAAUUGACGUAACACCUCCAAAGCCAUGGAUGGGCAUGGAUUCUUGUUAUGUGUUCUUUUCUCUCCCAAGCUAGAUAAACAAUAUGUUAUGUUUCUUUUGUUGAAUAAGAGGAAGCAAGUAAGAUGGAGGUAAUUAC